rnacentral:lncRNA from 1 species
UUUUUUUUUUUUUGUAUUUUAGUAGAGACAGGGUUUCGCCAUGUUUCCCAGGCUUGUUUCAAACUCCUGAGCUCAAUCAAUUCGCCUGUCUCGGCCUCCCAAAGUGCUGGGAUUACAGGCGUGAGCCACCGCGCCCGGCCGAGGAUUUCAAGACAGUGACAGCAAGGCAUGAAGCCUUCCAAGUGUGGGAGCCUGUGUGUCUGCGGGAGCUGUGUGCCUGUGAAGCAGACCCUGGGGCUGAGGCAGGAAAAUACCGUCUGGAGGCAGGGAACAUAAGGCGGAUUCACACUUCAGCUAUGACAGGACAUGUCCUCUCCACGGGCACAAACCCAGCAAACGACUUUAGAACUCAUUCUCUUCAUUUACAUAGGGCGGACCCCCAGUAGAGGGUAUCUGAACUCACAAAAACUCUAUGACGGGAUCCUUGAGCCCCUAUGCUCAGCCGCUCCCACGCCGUGGGGUGCACUUUAAUUCUCAAUAAAUCCCUGCUUUUGCUCUCCUCACUUUGUUCGUGCGUUUUGUCCAAUGCUUUGUUCGAGACGCCAUGAUCCUGGACACCCUUUCUGGGUACAGUACCAGGGCUUCCGAAACAGGGCUACAGAAGCCUUGGUAGGGGGAUGACCGAAGGGGGAAAAAGGCAGGAAGUAGGCAAGCCCCACCCACAGAGUGUCCACCCCCUCCUCCGGUUCUGUCUACACUGCAGGAGCUAGAAGAUAAAAAUGACCAUUCCAAGUCUAGGGUAAGAGUGAGGUCCUGCCAAUCGAAUGCCUUUCCCCAGGUCUGGAAAGGAAGGCAGGCAGAGGCCCGCGCCGGGGCUCACGUGUUGCUAUGCACGAGGGUGAGCUCGGCGCCUGCAGCUUCAGCUGCAGCUGGUCACCUGCUUCCCCGGCAAAAGGCCUGGGUAGACACACCCCAGUGCUGUCACCAGCCUGUGGAUGCCCUGAGGUGGCUCCCUGUCCCUGGACCACAUGGCAGGUGCGCUGGAGCUCAGGGUUCCAGUACAGCUUGGAAGCCUGGGGUCUCCCGGGGCCAGCGCUGUGGAUGGCUGGAGUCCUUCCAGGAGGUCCAGCCCCCAGAGCUGCCCUCGAGAACAUAAGCUUCUGAUUUCCACUCUGGAUCCGCCUGACUGAAAAUACCCCGAAUGGCUGCUUUUCCUGCUCUGACUGAACCACUGCUUGUACUUGCUUCCUGGGGCAGCCCUAACAAAGGACCACAAAUGACAAGAACGUCCCUCUCCCAAUCCUGGGGGACAGAAGUCCGAGAUGCAGGGGUGGCCAGGGCUGGUUCCUUCUGGGGCUGUGACGGAGCCUCUGCUCUGGUCUCUUCCAGCUUCUGGGUCUUGCUGGCAACCCUUGGUCCUCUGUGACUUACAGAAGCAUCACCCCAACCUCUGCCUUCAUCUUCACGUAACGUCCUAAUGUCCAUCAAUGACAGACUGGAUAAAGAAAAUGUGGUACAUAUACACCAUGGAAUACUAUGCAGCCAUCAAAAAGAAUGAGGUCAUGUCCUUUGUAGGGACAUGGAUGGAGCUGCAGGUCAUUAUCCUUAGCAAACUAAUGCAGGAACAGAAAGCCAAACGUCGCAUGUCCCCACUUAUAAGUCAGACCUGAACACGGAGUACAUAGGAACACAAGGGAAGGACAGCACUGUGGUGCACUUGGCGGCGGGGGUGGGGUGGGGUGGGGGCAGGAGGAGGGAGAGGAUUGAAAAGCUACCUAUUGGAUACUAUGCUUCUUACCUGGUUGAUGAAAUAAUCUACACACCAAACCCCAUGAAGUGCAAUUCAUCUAUAUGGCAAGCCUGCACAUGCAGCCCUGAACCCCAAGUAAAAGCUGAAAGAAAGCUUGUCUCCAGACAAGGUUGCCUUAGAAGGCACUGAGCAUUUGGGCUCCCUCAAAUGGAAUUUUUCUGGGGGGGAUCUAUUCAACUCCAGGCUGUCUUCGAGCUUGUGUCCAGCAGCUGAGCAUCGUGUGCAGUCAUUGUCUUCCCAUGUCUAGUUUUUCAAGGCCCCGUGACAUUGCAGAUA